UACGGAGGGGGCUAGCGUUGUUCGGAAUUACUGGGCGUAAAGCGCGCGUAGGCGGACCUGCAAGUCGGGGGUGAAAUCCCAAGGCUCAACCUUGGAACUGCCUUUGAUACUGGGGAUCUCGAGUCCGGAAGAGGUGAGUGGAACUGCGAGUGUAGAGGUGAAAUUCGUAGAUAUUCGCAAGAACACCAGUGGCGAAGGCGGCUCACUGGUCCGGUACUGACACUGAGGUGCGAAAGCGUGGGGAGCAAACAGG
rnacentral:rRNA from 1 species